AAGAGGAAGGUGGGGAUGACGUCAAGUCAGCGUGGCCCUCUGAUGCCUUGGGCUACACACAUGAUACAAUGGACGUUACAAUGGGUUGCCAACCCGCGAGGGGGAGCUAAUCCCAUCAAAGGCGUCCUCAGUUCGGAUUGGAGGCUGCAACUUGCCUCCAUGAAGUUGGAAUCGCUAGUAAUCGCUGAUCAGAACGCAGCGGUGAAUACGUUCUCAAAUUUUGCACUCACUGCCCGUCAACUUAAGGGAGCCGGGAAUACCCGAAGACCUGUAUUAUCUAUAGGGACACGGUAGGCUCGGUAACAAGAAGUAAGUCGUAACAAGGCAAGGCUAGCGGAAGCUGGUCUUGGAUCACCUCCUUU
rnacentral:ncRNA from 1 species